rnacentral:rRNA from 1 species
GUAGGGAAUAUUGCACAAUGGAGGAAACUCUGAUGCAGCGACGCCGCGUGAGUGAUGAAGGCCUUCGGGUCGUAAAGCUCUGUCGCAGGGGAAUAACACAAUGAAGGUACCCUGUAAGAAAGGAUCGGCUAACUUCGUGCCAGCAGCCGCGGUAAGACGAGGGAUCCUAGCGUUGUUCGGAAUCAUUGGGCGUAAAGCGGAUGUAGGUGGCUAUGUAAGUCAGAUGUGAAAGCCUGGGGCUCAACCCCAGAAGUGCAUUUGAUACUGCGUAGCUUGAGUGUCGGAGAGGUUACUAGAAUUGUUGGUGUAGUGGUGAAAUACGUAGAUAUCAACAGGAAUACCGGAGGCGAAGGCGGGUAACUGGCCGAACACUGACACUGAGAUCCGAAAGCGUGGGGAUCAAACAGGAUUAGAAACCCCAGUAGUCC